UUCUUGGAAACCUCAUGUGUAAAUUCCGAGUAGUUCUUUUAAUUGUAUUUGUCGAUUCUCUUGCAAAGGAAAACAUUGGAUUUUGCUAAGUUCACACAAGAGCCUUGCCAUCUACAUCUGUGCACAUGUCCUACUAUUAGAUCUUCUGCUCUAAAGCUAUGGCCGUCAACAUAUAAGACGAAUGGAGAGGUACAACAAAUCAUUUGAAUGGCCAGUUUACUUUAUACCUUGUGACCCACAUGAGGAGUGAAACUGCCUAUUUUCAAGGCACAAUUCAUCAAAGGGUGUCUUAGAAUUUGUCUUAAGUUCUAUAUAGAAAUGUUCUUUUUGUUUUGUUUUGUUUUUUUCUUUCUUUCUUUCUUUUAUAAAAAUAAAUAAAUAACAAUUUUGGUUCAGUUAAAUUGUCGAAAAGAAUACACCUCCUCUUACUUGUCCUUUCAAAUUUUGCAUUGGUCUUGUCUAUUGUGAAGUGAUUCAGUUAGAUUGAUUGUCUUCUUCCUGUGUUCGUUUUGGAAAGAAUGAUUAUUUGAGAGAACACUCAUUUGGAAUUUUUAUACUUUCUUUUGCAGGCAAUUGGAUUUUAUACUUUCAGAAUUUUGAUUUGUGAUUUUUGUUUUGUGCCAAUCUAGUAGAAUUGAUUGCAUUUUCUGUCAUUGUUUUUGCAUUUCUUAUAAGGCCUCCCUCAAUUUUAUUACUUUUGUCGAUAAAGAGAAUUUAUUCUUAAUUUGGUGUUCUUAUGAGUUGAUGUUUGACAUGUAAUGUAAAACACAACAGAACCCAUGCACAAACUUCUCUUCCCUAAUCUAGAAUUGGGUUUAUUUCUGGCAACCUGAUUUUGUAGGAAGCAUUUCCUUUGUUCUCGUUAUUUUACAUUUUCAGUAAACUAGAACCCUUGAUUUUAAGAGCAUCUCUUCAAUUAUCCCUCUUUAAUUAAAUGGGAAUUUGGUAAUCUAUGUUCAUUUGGAUUGUCCGAGUAAUAGAGAGUAAAUCUAUUGCUGUAAAGAGUUUGGUGAUGGGGAAGAACAAGAUCAAGAUAGAGAGAUUGGAGACUGUGAUAGGCACAACACAUUCUCUAAAUGACAAACAGAAUCUUGAACAAAGUUAAAUGUCGAUUCUUUGCGCAUAGAAAUUGUUCUUUUCAUGUUUACCCCUGGCGAAAAGCUGACCACGUUUGUUGGAGAACUUAGGUAGUUUCUUCUUCAUAAAUCUUUUAUGAAUGCUUAGAAUGGUAACAGCGAUUUUGAUUAGUUAUAGAGAAAUUUUUUCUAUGUUGUAGUUUUAGUAUACUAAUUGUGGGUUUCCUUUCAUUUUGAUUAUUUUCACAAUCUAUAUAUUUAUAUAUGUAAUAAGAGACUAUAAUCUAGAAACUUGCAGAGUUCAAUACCUGUGUCGGACACAUGUUGACACUCCAUUUUCUUCAUACAUCUGGCAGUAUUUAUAUUCUUAUUGUUUAGGUCAUAGUUUAGCUAUUAGAAUACAUUUCUAUUUGUUAUGCUUAUGGUGUUUGGAACAAAGAGGGAGUAUCUGUUAAUAAAAACAUACUGUGAUUGACACCCAUUAUUAAAUGCCACGGUAGAGAAGUUUCUGAACUUUUUGUAAAAUGUGUAAUGAUGAAAUAUCAGGCUUCUCACCUCCAAAAAAAAAAAACACACAAUAUACACUCCAACGUGGCGAUAAUGGUGGAUGUCUAUCAACUUGUGUUUUUUUUUUUAUAAGGAUAUGAGUUCUUGGUUCCAAACUGACUCUAUAUGAGGUAUAUCUAAUAAAACAACUUUCAAUGUCAUUAUACAUCUAUACAGACAUGUCAGCGUGCUGGGUUUUUCAGGAUCUUGUGUCUACUUUCUUGUUUCCUUGUCCGAAAAAGCAAUGCUGCCCAUGUUUGAAACAGGCUUGUCUUCUGUCAGUGAUUUGAGAGUCUUUGAAGGAUGUUAGGGGAUAAGUAUCCAAGAAGUGCAAAAAGGAAUGAUGGAAUUCUAAAAUUUCUCCAGAAACCAUUCGAAAGGCAGGAACACAAAAUUGAUGUAAAAGAAAGUUUCGAUGAAAUAUAGAGUCAAAUUCAAUCACUAACUAAGAGGCAUGCUACUUCCAAGCAUGUAUCUGCAGACACCAAAUACAAGUGUCUCACAAAAAGUUGAAACAAGUGGUGGUGAUCCAAGCCCUUCAUCACGCUGGCCUCAUAAUGAAUGUGCCUUCACCUAGGAUCAAGACCGUCCAUAAAUCAGGAAUUGCAAAAUCGGUUACAGCUGUUGCAAGAAAUGCUUACUGAUGUGAAGCAUAGAUUGAGUGGUGUUUUGUCUAUAGCUGGAGUUUAUAGGAAUUAAAAUCUGUUGUGCAUUUUGUGUUUGAACUGCAUGCAUACGACCAGACACGCUUGGUGUAAAUAUUUUUGUGAGCAUGAAGUGUUUUUAACUGACUAUCCCUUAGUGACUUGGCAAGAGUACAGCAUGGUGGAACUUCGUAGAAUAUUACAUUUUUUGUUUAGAUUUAUUUAUUUUGGUAGUUGUCGGACCAUAACAGGAAGUGUCAAUAAUGCAGCUCAAACUAGAGUAGUGGAAGAAUCUCUGAUGAAAUUUCUUGAUUCACCUUGAGUACAGGUAAUUCUAUCUU